UACAGAGGUCUCAAGCGUUGUUCGGAUUCAUUGGGCGUAAAGGGUGCGUAGGUGGCGCUGUAAGUCGGGUGUGAAAUUUCGGAGCUUAACUCCGAAACUGCAUUCGAUACUGCGGUGCUUGAGGACUGGAGAGGAGACUGGAAUUUACGGUGUAGCGGUGAAAUGCGUAGAUAUCGUAAGGAAGACCAGUGGCGAAGGCGGGUCUCUGGACAGUUCCUGACGCUGAGGCACGAAGGUCAGGGGAGCAAACGGGG
rnacentral:rRNA from 1 species